AGAGUUUGAUCCUGGCUCAGAUUGAACGCUGGCGGCAUGCCUUACACAUGCAAGUCGAACGGCAGCACGGGAGCAAUCCUGGUGGCGAGUGGCGAACGGGUGAGUAAUAUAUCGGAACGUGCCCAGUCGUGGGGGAUAACGCAGCGAAAGCUGUGCUAAUACCGCAUACGAUCUCUGGAUGAAAGCGGGGGACCGCAAGGCCUCGCGCGAUUGGAGCGGCCGAUAUCAGAUUAGCUAGUUGGUGGGGUAAAGGCUCACCAAGGCGACGAUCUGUAGCUGGUCUGAGAGGACGACCAGCCACACUGGUACUGAGACACGGACCAGACUCCUACGGGAGGCAGCAGUGAGGAAUAUUGGGCAAUGGAGGCAACUCUGACCCAGCCAUGCCGCGUGCAGGAAGACGGUCCUAUGGAUUGUAAACUGCUUUUAUACGGGAAGAAACCCUGCUACGUGUAGCAGCUUGACGGUACCGUAAGAAUAAGGAUCGGCUAACUCCGUGCCAGCAGCCGCGGUAAUACGGAGGAUCCAAGCGUUAUCCGGAAUCAUUGGGUUUAAAGGGUCCGUAGGCGGCCUUAUAAGUCAGUGGUGAAAUCUCCCAGCUCA
rnacentral:rRNA from 1 species